rnacentral:rRNA from 1 species
AGCGGCGGAUGGGUGAGUAACACGUGGGGAACCUGCCCCUAAGUCUGGGAUACCAUUUGGAAACAGGUGCUAAUACCGGAUAAUAAAGCAGAUCGCAUGAUCAGCUUUUGAAAGGCGGCGUAAGCUGUCGCUAAGGGAUGGCCCCGCGGUGCAUUAGCUAGUUGGUAAGGUAACGGCUUACCAAGGCGACGAUGCAUAGCCGAGUUGAGAGACUGAUCGGCCACAUUGGGACUGAGACACGGCCCAAACUCCUACGGGAGGCAGCAGUAGGGAAUCUUCCACAAUGGACGCAAGUCUGAUGGAGCAACGCCGCGUGAGUGAAGAAGGUUUUCGGAUCGUAAAGCUCUGUUGUUGGUGAAGAAGGAUAGAGGUAGUAACUGGCCUUUAUUUGACGGUAAUCAACCAGAAAGUCACGGCUAACUACGUGCCAGCAGCCGCGGUAAUACGUAGGUGGCAAGCGUUGUCCGGAUUUAUUGGGCGUAAAGCGAGCGCAGGCGGAAAAAUAAGUCUAAUGUGAAAGCCCUCGGCUUAACCGAGGAACUGCAUCGGAAACUGUUUUUCUUGAGUGCAGAAGAGGAGAGUGGAACUCCAUGUGUAGCGGUGGAGUGCGUAGAUAUAUGGAAGAACACCAGUGGCGAAGGCGGCUCUCUGGUCUGCAACUGACGCUGAGGCUCGAAAGCAUGGGUAGCGAACAGGAUUAGAUACCCUGGUAGUCCAUGCCGUAAACGAUGAGUGCUAAGUGU